GAAGAUUGGACGUCGGGCCGGUGGAUCGGUCGACGUAUCGACAGAAGGCUUCGGGCCGUGGACUCGGGCAUCGGGCCAAGAAGAGUGGGUAUUGUGCCAAGGAUAUCGGAGUUGCGGAGUCAACUGGCCGAUUGGGCAAUAGGCUGCAGGAGAGGACGAUGCGCCGAAGAAUCGGACGAAGCGUCAAGGGACCAAUGACAUGCCGGACAACUUGGUUAAUUGCUUAGGAUUAAUUGUCUCGAUCGAAGUUUUGUUUUAAGUGUGCAGGAGUAACUA
rnacentral:lncRNA from 1 species